CCUACGGGAGGCUGCAGUGAGGAAUAUUGGUCAAUGUGCGGGAGCCUGAACCAGCCAAGUCGCGUGAGUGAAGACGGUCCUAUGGAUUGUACACCUCUUUAGGCGGGGAGCAAUGCCGGGCACGCGUGCCCGGCGGGAGAGUACCCGCAGAAUAAGCAUCGGCUAACUCCGUGCCAGCAGCCGCGGUAAUACGGAGGAUGCGAGCGUUAUCCGGAUUUAUUGGGUUUAAAGGGUGCGUAGGCGGAUUUUUAAGUCAGCGGUAAAAUGUCCGGGCUCAACCCGGGCCGGCCGUUGAAACUGGGGAUCUUGAGUGGGCGAGAAGUAUGCGGAAUGCGUGGUGUAGCGGUGAAAUGCAUAGAUAUCACGCAGAACUCCGAUUGCGAAGGCAGCAUACCGGCGCCCGACUGACGCUGAGGCACGAAAGCGUGGGGAUCGAACAGGAUUAGAUACCCCGGUAGUC
rnacentral:rRNA from 1 species